CGAGGGCGAAGGGCGGUGCUGCUUCCCGGAAGGGGCCUGGCGGAGAGCGCGGACGCAGGGAAGCUAUCCUUGAGCUGUCGCCAUGGAUUCCACCAGUCACCCCUCCACCGGCCAAGUUAUCCUUCUGGCAACCAGUUCGGCUGUUACCGCAAUUCUCUAUGCCGUUUAUAGACAUAAGUCGAAAGUUGUUGAUGGUCUGAAGGGUGCUAAAAAAGUCACCCUAGACCAGGAUUUGAAGAACAUUCUCAUGGAAGCACCAGGGAAAUGCGUCCCCUACGCGGUGAUAGAAGGUGUCGUGCGCUCCGUUAAGGAAACGCUCAACAGCCAGUUUGUGGAGAGCUGCAAGGGGGUGGUUCAGAGGCUGACCCUUCAGGAGCACAAGAUGGUGUGGAACCGAACCACCCACCUCUGGAAUGACUACGAAAAGAUCAUCCACCAGAGGACAAACACGGUCACUUUUGAUCUGGUGCCCCAGGAGAGAGGGGGAGGGCCCGACGUUGCGGUGAGGGUAUUAAAGCCUCUGGAUGCUGCUGAGCUCAGCCUGGAGACCGUCUAUGAGAAAUUCCACCCCUCCGUGCAGUCCUUCACCGACGUGAUUGGCCACUACAUCAGUGGAGAGCGGCCCAAAGGCAUCAAGGAGACGGAGGAGAUGCUGAAGGUCGGGGCGGUGCUCACUGGGGUCGGGGAGCUGGUCCUCGACAGCAGCACCAUCAAGCUGCAGCCGCCCAAGCAGGGCAUGCACUACUACCUCAGCAGCCUGGGUUUCGACUCGCUGCUCCAGCGGCAGGAAUCCAGCGUCCGGCUCUGGAAGGUCUUGACGGCCCUUUGCGGGCUGGCCAGCUGUGCCCUCCUCGCCUUCAUUUUGCACAAACAGUACAGGUGGCGCCGGGAAAAGCGGCGCCUGCGCCAGAUGCAGGAGAGCAUCGCCGCGGGCGGGGACGUGGCCAGCACGUGCGUCAUCUGCCUGAGCAACAGCCGGUCCUGUGUUUUUCUCGAGUGCGGGCACGUGUGUUCGUGCAGCAAGUGCUACGAGGCCCUCCCGAGGCCCCCCCGCUGCCCUAUUUGCAGGCAGCUGAUUGCCAGGGUCGUGCCUCUGUACAACAGCUGAAGGACGAUGCCCUUUCUCUCCGGCUGCUUCCAGGCCCGCCUUAGGAACGAACUUUUUGAGCAUUGCUGCGUUAAAUGGGGAGUGGGUUUGGGUGGGGGGAUGGGGGCAGAACUGUAGCUCUUUGCACAAAUAGACAAAGCCAAACAGUGUUGCUCAGAGGUAUCCUCAGCUGUGACUUUGAAAUUGAACUGCUGGCUGUGGCUUUGAUAAAAUGCCAGAAUGAAGGUUCUUCUCAUGGGUAAUUGCACUCUGUGUGUGUGUGUGUGUGUAUGUGUGUGAGAGAGAGAGAGAGUGAGUGAGAGGCUAAUUCACCGUUGGAUGUUUCCUGUUGGAGAAUUCCCCAGGAUCAUGUUUCUAGAGCAGUGAGGAGUUCACUCUCCCUCGAUUUAUUAACACUUUGUGCGUUUGACGCUGAACAUGUUUUUUUUUUAGUCCCAGUUCUCUGCUGCGGGACUCCUGACCCAGUUCCUAGAAUAAAAGAGUUUGCAUUGCACGUGUUUCAAAUGCAGCUUUUUU